rnacentral:lncRNA from 1 species
GAUACAACUGCCUAACCUCAUGGUUACUGCCAUGGCAGCUGCUGGGAUCCUGGAGAGAGUUUCUUUCACCACUGCAGUCUGUGCUUUGUAUUUGCCUUUGUAAACACGUGGAAUAGUGCAACCCUGCCAUAGACAGCAUGCCCUGAAUAGCUUCUUCCUCUGUGCUCGUCGAGGUACUGUGGAGGAUGGUUGGAGAUGUUUGUUGAAUUUUCCAUUCAGUUUAGAGCUCAA